ACUCCUACGGGAGGCAGCAGUAGGGAAUCUUCCACAAUGGGCGCAAGCCUGAUGGAGCAACACCGCGUGAGUGAAGAAGGGUUUCGGCUCGUAAAGCUCUGUUGUUAAAGAAGAACACGUAUGAGAGUAACUGUUCAUACGUUGACGGUAUUUAACCAGAAAGUCACGGCUAACUACGUGCCAGCAGCCGCGGUAAUACGUAGGUGGCAAGCGUUAUCCGGAUUUAUUGGGCGUAAAGAGAGUGCAGGCGGUUUUCUAAGUCUGAUGUGAAAGCCUUCGGCUUAACCGGAGAAGUGCAUCGGAAACUGGAUAACUUGAGUGCAGAAGAGGGUAGUGGAACUCCAUGUGUAGCGGUGGAAUGCGUAGAUAUAUGGAAGA
rnacentral:rRNA from 1 species